rnacentral:rRNA from 1 species
CGGGGUGCAGCAGGCGCGAAAACUUUACAAUGCCGGCAACGGCGAUAAGGGAACCUCGAGUGCCAGGUUACAAAUCUGGCUGUCGUGAUGCCUAAAAAGCAUUGCAUAGCAAGGGCCGGGCAAGACCGGUGCCAGCCGCCGCGGUAACACCGGCGGCUCGAGUGGUAACCGUUAUUAUUGGGUCUAAAGGGUCUGUAGCCGGCCGGGUAAGUCUCUUGGGAAAUCUGGCAGCUUAACUGUCAGGCUUUCAGGAGAUACUGCCUGGCUCGAGGCCGGGAGAGGUGAGAGGUACUUCAGGGGUAGGGGCGAAAUCUUGUAAUCCUUGAAGGACCACCAGUGGCGAAGGCGUCUCACCAGAACGGACCUGACGGCAAGGGACGAAAGCUAGGGGCACGAACCGGAUUAGAUACCCGGGUAGUCCUAGCCGUAAACGAUACUCGCUAGGUGUCGGCCACGGUGCGACCGUGGUCGGUGCCGUAGGGAAGCCGUGAAGCGAGCCACCUGGGAAGUACGGCCGCAAGGCUGAAACUUAAAGGAAUUGGCGGGGGAGCAC